AGACGGCUGGGAAGAGAGGGGGUUUGGCAUGGUGCAAAAAUGUCUCUCCUUUCUCCUUCUAG
rnacentral:miRNA from 1 species